rnacentral:tRNA from 1 species
AUAUCCUUAGCUUAGUGCUAGAGCAUUUGACUGCAGAUCAAGAGUUCACCAAUUGACUUGGUAGGACCUU